GAUCUGCCAUCAGCUGUGUCUGUUUACCGUUGAUUAUCUGGACUAUUUAUACAACCAUUCCACCUCUGUUUGUCAUCGCGUCGUUUGUCUUCCUUGUCUUUCCUGCCGCCGUGUUUCUAGGUAACGCUUGUUGCAAACGCACUUCCGGGUUGGAUGAAGACAUCGCUGAUGAAAAUCCAAGUCAAGCUCGAAUUCCCAUCCAGUGCGAGGAUAAUCCCGAGGGUCAAAAUGGACUGAUGGUGUACGACAGGGAAGCUUUUCCUAUGAAGAGAAUCCUCUGUCCAGCCGGAGCAGAAGAUCUUCCUGAAGCACAAGAAAGAAAACAGCAGUUGAUCAUCUCUACGCAGAUUCAGAAAUUUGGGCAUCUGCUUUAGGAGCUGCUUUAAUCUCUGUUGAUUGGGAAAUUGUUAAAAAAAAACACCUUUAUUUGACAGUGAUGUUUGAUACAUGAUGUUUUAAAAACAUUAAAAAGAAACAUGUAUGA